GACCUCGUGCUCCGCUGGCCGGGCCCCCUGACUCUCACUCAGGACCACGCGGGUUCGAUUCCCGUCGAGGUCA
rnacentral:tRNA from 1 species